GGAUGGCUGGCCGACCGGUAAGGCACCCCGUUGGAAGCAGGCGGUCGGGAUGAGAGUCCUGAGCAGGUUCAACUCCUGCGCCAUCCG
rnacentral:tRNA from 1 species